GACGUAGGGCGCGAGCGUUGUCCGGAUUUAUUGGGCGUAAAGAGCUCGUAGGCGGCUUGUCGCGUCGACUGUGAAAACCCGCGGCUCAACUGCGGGUCUGCAGUCGAUACGGGCAGGCUAGAGUUCGGUAGGGGAGACGUGGAAUUCCUGGUGUAGCGGUGAAAUGCGCAGAUAUCAGGAGGAACACCGAUGGCGAAGGCAGGUCUCUGGGCCGAUACUGACGCUGAGGAGCGAAAGCGUGGGGAGCGAACAGG
rnacentral:rRNA from 1 species